ACCUACGGGAGGCAGCAGUAGGGAAUUUUCGUCAAUGGGCGCAAGCCUGAACGAGCAAUGCCGCGUGAACGAGGAUGGUCUUCGGAUCGUAAAGUUCUGUUGAAGGGGAAAAAGAGCGGAGAGAGGAAAUGGUCUCCGAUUGAUAUUACCCUUCGAGGAAGUCACGGCUAACUACGUGCCAGCAGCCGCGGUAAUACGUAGGUGGCGAGCGUUAUCCGGAGUGAUUGGGCGUAAAGGGUGCGUAGGCGGCCUGCUAAGUCUGGAGUGAAAGGUACCGGCUCAACCGGUACAGGCUCUGGAAACUG
rnacentral:rRNA from 1 species